rnacentral:rRNA from 1 species
CACGCCGUAAACGAUGGAUGCUGGGUGUUGGUGGUAUCGACCCCAUCAGCGCCGUAGCCAACGCGUUAAGCAUCCCGCCUGAGGAUUACGGCCGCAAGGCUAAAACUCAAAGGAAUUGACGGGGGCCCGCACAAGCAGCGGAGCGUGUGGUUUAAUUCGAUGCAACACGAAGAACCUUACCAGGGCUUGACAUGUACGUGGUAGGGAAGUGAAAGCGGAACGACCCCUUCGGGGGAGCGUACACAGGUGC